rnacentral:rRNA from 1 species
CCUACGGGGGGCAGCAGUGGGGAAUAUUGCACAAUGGGCGCGAGCCUGAUGCAGCCAUGCCGCGUGUGUGAAGAAGGCCUUCGGGUUGUAAAGCACUUUCAGCGGGGAGGAAGGCGGUGAGGUUAAUAACCUCAUCGAUUGACGUUACCCGCAGAAGAAGCACCGGCUAACUCCGUGCCAGCAGCCGCGGUAAUACGGAGGGUGCAAGCGUUAAUCGGAAUUACUGGGCGUAAAGCGCACGCAGGCGGUCUGUCAAGUCGGAUGUGAAAUCCCCGGGCUCAACCUGGGAACUGCAUUCGAAACUGGCAGGCUAGAGUCUUGUAGAGGGGGGUAGAAUUCCAGGUGUAGCGGUGAAAUGCGUAGAGAUCUGGAGGAAUACCGGUGGCGAAGGCGGCCCCCUGGACAAAGACUGACGCUCAGGUGCGAAAGCGUGGGGAGCAAACAGGAUUAGAUACCCCUGUAGUC